rnacentral:rRNA from 1 species
CUACGGGCGGCUGCAGUGGGGAAUAUUGGACAAUGGGGGAAACCCUGAUCCAGCAAUGCCGCGUGUGUGAAGAAGGCCUGCGGGUUGUAAAGCACUUUCGGUUGGGAGGACUGCUUCUAGCACUAAUAUUGUUGGAAGUUGACGUUACCUUCAGAAGAAGCACCGGCUAACUCCGUGCCAGCAGCCGCGGUAAUACGGAGGGUGCAAGCGUUAAUCGGAAUUACUGGGCGUAAAGCGCGCGUAGGCGGCUAGAUCAGUCGGGUGUGAAAGCCCCGGGCUUAACCUGGGAACUGCAUCCGAUACUGUCUAGCUUGAGUACAGGAGAGGAGAGUGGAAUUCCACAUGUAGCGGUGAAAUGCGUAGAUAUGUGGAGGAACACCAAUGGCGAAGGCAGCUCUCUGGCCUGAUACUGACGCUGAGGUGCGAAGGCGUGGGGAGCAAACAGGAUUAGAUACCCGGGUAGUC